GGCAGAGUUUCGCGUCUGACGCCGCCCCGGCAGCUCUCCCGACUCAGGGCAGCGCCUUCCCGGCGGCUUUCCCGUGCCCGGAGCGAAGAGAAGAGCUGCCCUGGGAGGCAGCCCCAGCACGCUGCCCCGCCGCAGGGGGAUGUGUGUGCUGCUCGGCUUACUUCUCUGUACCACCGGGUGCUACCUGAGGCCUCAUGCAGAUCCAGAAGAGCUGAUUGUCCCCAACAACUGACAAUAAUGUGAGCCCUCAUAGAAUCACCGAAUGGUUUUGGUUGAAAGGGACCUUAAAAAUUGUCCAGCUCCAACCACUUGUCAUGGCAGAGACCCCUCUCACCAGCCCAGGCUGCCCAAAGCCUCAUCCAGCCUGGCCUUGAACACCUCCAGGGGCAUCCACGGCUUCUCUGGGUAGCCUGUGCCAGUGCCUCACCAUCCUCGAAGUGAAGAAUUUUCUCCUAAUAUCUAUUCUGAAUCUCCCUUCUUUUAGGUUAAAAUUGUUCCCCCUUGUCCUAUCACUAUAUCAUGGUCCUGGGGAUAGAAAAUGUUGAUGGCUUCGAGGGAGCCAGGUGAUGUUCCCGUCUGGAUGUGUGGUGCAGUCAUUUUCUGAGUACUCGAUGAGGAACAAUCUUGCUGUGAUGCAUCAGCAAGUGUGCAUUUUGCACUGGGGGACGUGCAUCAGCCAUUACAUAUCUGAGCUUCCUUCCCUGUGAUUUAAAUGUGGAGUGGGUAGAACCCAGCGCUAUCACUCACACAAGCCCAGAUUUACACAGCCAUAAUGUAUGAGUCAUCUUGGAAACUUUGCCAAGUGCUGGGGGAGCCUUACCCAGUUUAUUUGUAUGCAUCUCUUUCUUUCAACAUCCCUUUAAGCACUUUUCAAUAAGUCUUCCAGAGGGAUAAAAGUUAUUUAAAUAAAGCUAGCACGUAACAACCUGCCCGGUGCUGCAUGGAAGGUGGGAAUAUUGAGCAUAUACGGCUUUUUUAGGUAGUGAUCUGUACUAGCCAUGCCUGGUCCCACAGCUGCUGAUUCUGGCUGGAAAAUUAUGAGUUGACCUCUUCCUAUUUUGAGGGUGCUCACUAGGUUAAAAAUCAUAUUUCAAAGUUGAAGUACAUUUUGUUUGGCUGGUCAUUCCCCUUUAGUGAAGGGGGCUGGAAAAAAAAACAGUUUGUUUUUCAAGAGUUACGCAUUUUGUUUAUCUUCCGAUUUUUUCCCCAUCCUAGACGAGGAGAAUAGGUGAGUCAGUUCUGUUUUUAUUUGCAGCCACUUUCCCCUUCAGGCUCACAAUGCUGAAAUGUUUGCGGGGGCUUUUUCUUGUGGCGUAGAGCUGGAUUCACAACUAUCAGUCUGGCUACAUUCAUCAGCCUCUGCUUUCCCUUGUUUGUUUACAGCUUUGCUUUGAAAGGGGUUGUCAGGAAUUUUUGUCUCUCCCCGGCAUGCCCACACUCCCCUCUCUGGUCUUUAUGGCGUGAUCCAGCCGGUUUGCAGGAGAUGUGAAUCUGUGCAGCGUUUCCUUGCGGAUGUUUUAUUGAGCUAUACAUAGGUAUGCAAAGAUGCACGCACACAAGCACACAUCCGCUACCACUGCAUGCAGAUGGGAUUUUGAGUUUGGCUCUGGCAAGUAACACUGUCCCCUUGUUCUGCUGUAAAAGCUGUGCUUGAAAUAGGUAUGCCUUCUCACUUCAGCUAAUUUGUAUGCUGGAAAGUGCAGUGUUUUUCUUGGUGUUUGAGCAUGAACUACAAAUACAUGUUACUUUGAGAUGCCGAAA